rnacentral:rRNA from 1 species
AUUGAACGCUGGCGGCAUGCUUUACACAUGCAAGUCGAACGGUAACAGGCCUUCGGGUGCUGACGAGUGGCGAACGGGUGAGUAAUGCAUCGGAACGUACCCAGAGGUGGGGGAUAACGCAGCGAAAGCUGUGCUAAUACCGCAUGUGAUCUGAGGAUGAAAGCGGGGGACCGAGCAGCAAUGUUUGGCCUCGCGCCUUUGGAGCGGCCGAUGUUGGAUUAGCUAGUUGGUGGGGUAAAGGCCUACCAAGGCGACGAUCCGUAGCUGGUCUGAGAGGACGACCAGCCACACUGGGACUGAGACACGGCCCAGACUCCUACGGGAGGCAGCAGUGGGGAAUUUUGGACAAUGGGCGCAAGCCUGAUCCGGCAAUGCCGCGUGCGGGAAGAAGGCCUUCGGGUUGUAAACCGCUUUUGGCAGGAACGAAACGGUGUCCGCUAAUACCGGGCGCUAAUGACGGUACCUGCAGAAUAAGCACCGGCUAACUACGUG